CCUUCGAUAGCUCAGUUGGUAGAGCGGAGGACUGUAGGUUGACUUAGUAAUCCUUAGGUCGCUGGUUCGAAUCCGGCUCGAAGGA
rnacentral:tRNA from 1 species